UACAGAGGGUGCGAGCGUUGUUCGGAAUUAUUGGGCGUAAAGGGCGCGUAGGCGGUGCGGUAAGUCACCUGUGAAAACUCUGGGCUCAAACUCAGAGCCUGCAGGCGAAACUCCCGUGCUGGAGUGUGGGAGAGGUGCGUGGAAUUCCCGGUGUAGCGGUGAAAUGCGUAGAUAUCUGGAAGGAACACCAGUGGCGAAGGCGGCUUCCUGGCCUGUAACUGACGCUGAGACGCGAAAGCGUGGGGAGCGAACCGG
rnacentral:rRNA from 1 species